UACGAAGGGGGCUAGCGUUGCUCGGAAUUACUGGGCGUAAAGCGCACGUAGGCGGGUUCUUAAGUCGGUGGUGAAAUCCUGGAGCCCAACUCCAGAACUGCCUUCGAAACUGGGAAUCUUGAGUCCGGGAGAGGUGAGUGGAACUGCGGAGUGUAGAGGUGAAAUUCGUAGAUAUUCGCAAGAACACCAGUGGCGAAGGCGGCUCACUGGCCCGGUACUGACGCUGAGGUGCGAAAGCGUGGGGAGCCAAACAGGGAGUUAAGAA
rnacentral:rRNA from 1 species